CAGGAAGACCAGUGCCAGUUCAUUGUUGUGGGGAUCCCUUCAUGCGGAGUAGGAUUUGUGUUUGUAGAGGGCUUUCAGUUCUUCUCAUCUGGUCUCUCUCCUUGUAAGACCCAGGAGAAGCAACCAUGCUGUGGGCUGUGGCCCUGCUUCUAGCUUUCCUGCCUCCUGCAGGCAGUCAAACAUCUUCUGACAUAGAACGGGGAAUGAUCACAGUCACCAAGAAACCUGGGUCACAUCUGACAAUCACUUGUGAUGUGCGUGCAGUAAAGAGCUACAUCCACUGGUACCGAUUUCAGGAGGGGCAGGCCCCACAACGCCUUCUCUAUUAUGACUUCUUCAGUUCCAAGGCUGUGCUAGAUUUGGAACUCAGACCAGAGAAAUACACUGCUUAUCAAGCCACAGAGCAUAGCAAUAAAUUUGUAGUACGGAAUGUGGAAGAAAGUGACUCUGGGGUGUAUUACUGUGCAGUGUGGACCGGCACAGUGCUUCACACCUGCUCUAUGCCACACUGA